rnacentral:rRNA from 1 species
CAGUCGCCGCGGUAAAACGAAGGGGGCUAGCGUUGUUCGGAAUUACUGGGCGUAAAGCGCACGUAGGCGGAUAUUUAAGUCAGGGGUGAAAUCCCAGAGCUCAACUCUGGAACUGCCUUUGAUACUGGGUAUCUUGAGUAUGGAAGAGGUGAGUGGAAUUCCGAGUGUAGAGGUGAAAUUCGUAGAUAUUCGGAGGAACACCAGUGGCGAAGGCGGCUCACUGGUCCAUUACUGACGCUGAGGUGCGAAAGCGUGGGGAGCAAACAGGAUUAGAUACCCGGGUAGUCCCUGUCUCUUAUAC